rnacentral:rRNA from 1 species
AUGGAUUGUAAAUGGAGAAUUCAUGUUGGGAGGUUGGAUGACCAAGAAACUAUGGAGGUCAAAGUUCAUGUGCAGGAGCACACUUGUUCUAGCGCAAAGAAGAAAAAGAAGCAGAAAAAUGCUUCAAAGGCAUGGGUGUGUGAGAAAGUCAUGGACUGGGUGAAAGAAGAUCCUAGUGUUCGGCCGAUGGAGUUACGGAGGAGGCUACAUGACAAGUACAAGAUCAACGUCCAAUACAUGAAAGUAUUCCGUGGCAAAGGGCUAGCAAUGGCUAAGUUGUUUGGUAACUGGGAUGAUUCUUUUGACAAGCUAUAUGCUUGGAAAGCUGAGGUUGAGAAGAGGUCUCCUGGAAGCAUAGUUGCGAUUGACCACAUGGAGUAUGAUCAGAAAAAAUAUUUCAUACGGAUGUGUGUUGGGCUGAAGCCUUUGUGCGAUGGAUUCUUGGCUGGCUGCACACCUUACUUGGCGAUAGAUAGCACUCAUUUGACAGGCAAGUAUAGAGGCCAAUUAGCUACUGCUUGUGCCAUUGAUGGGCACAAUUGGUUGUAUCCUGUAGUCUAUGGAGUUAUUGACUCAGAAACUACUGAAAGUUGGGUGUGGUUUUUGGAGAAGCUUCGUGAUGCUAUUGGCUCUCCCCCUGGUCUAGCUAUAUGUUCAGAUGCGGGAAAAGGGAUUGACACUGCAAUCGAACAGGUCUUUGGGUAUGCAGAACAUAGAGAAUGCAUGCGACAUUUGGUUGUGAACUUCAAGAAAAAGUUUCAUGGUAAAGUUUUUGAUGAUCAUUUGUGGCCGGCUGCUUAUUCAUGGACUCCUCGAGGGUUUGACUAUCACAUGGCAGACAUAGAGGAGAAAAAGGCUGCUGCAAUAGCAUAUUUAAACAAGUACCACAGCAGGCUAUGGUCAAGGAGCAAAUAUUCAACCUCCUCAAAAGUGGAUUAUGUGACAAAUAAUUUGGCCGAGUGUUUCAACAACUAG